rnacentral:lncRNA from 1 species
UGGACUAGCAUUACCUUAAUGCCCUUGGACAUUUUUCUUAAAGCAUGAAAAGGAGGAGCAUAUUACCUCCAGUGGAAAAGGAGAAAGAAUAAUUCUGUAAGUUGAAAAAAGACCCCAUCACAAGGACAGCCUCCUAAUUCUUAUAAAGUUUUUCAUAGGAUUUUAUAGUUCCUUUUGAGAAAACCAAUAAAACAAAAGAGCAAAAGCCCACUUUUCCUUCCACGUGGGGAUCAUUGGAUUUAGAUCUGCUUCAGAAUGAAGACUCAUUGCAUCAUCUGUACAGUGCUUGGGCUUUAUUAUAGCUGUUUGUUGUAAGUAGAGACUUAGCCAUAUUUUAUGAAGCUCAUAGUGACUGACAGAAUCAAUGUCAAAGGAAACAACCACCUGAAGUUGAUCUUAUUUUACCAUGCAGAAUACUUGUGGAAAAGGGAAGAAAACUUUUUGUCUUUUGCUGAAACAGAAGCCCCCAGUGAAAGUGUGGGUAAGGAAUGGAUUGAAGAGGAUCAAGAUAAACUUUUGUGAUGUGACUUCUCUCAUCACCAGGGAGUUGACAGACCCCCAGAAGAGUCUCCAGGUUAAUGCAGCAGCAAGAGCAAGCAUAGGUGAGGGUACCAGAGGCACCUCCCAGACAAGGCCUCAGAGAAUGAAAGGUCACCGAGAAUGGGCUAGCUGUCUUUUAUGACACUGAAAAGGCCUUCAUGUCUAAAUGAAUGAGUUCUGGAAUUGCUCCCAUGAAGAAUGGCUAACCAAUUUGUCUCAACUGGCACUUGAAUGCGAAAUUACAAAUGAAGGUCUUCUGGACUGCACUGUGGUCCUUGGAAGAGCACUGGAUGAUUUAUUCUCACUCAUUUUCUCCACUUUCCAUGCUAAAAUAUUUUUACUUGGUCAAUAAAUUAUGGAGGCUGACAUUAACAAGAUGAACUGUGGAUGAAAAUAUGUGAGCUUGAAUAUUUAUAAGAAUGUGGAAUUGAUAUUUUACUCUUUCUCCAACUAGCUCUGGACUUGUGGGAUCUGUUAAAUAAGGGCAUUGGGCUCCAUUCAAAUUAAUUUAAUAAGAGAUCUUGGGGACUGAUGAAUCAUGGGUCAUUCAUAAUGGAGAAGAGAGUACUUACUACAUAGGAAGACAUUUUAGUGAAAGCAAGUGACAUAUUUGGAACAAGUAAGAUGCAGCACUCUUCCUCCCUCUUUUGCGGAGUCUUUGGCAUUGGACUGCUGAACUUGAUGCUGACUCAGCUGAUGCAUGAGUACUGAUGUAUCAAUUGUGUCUACUUACCAUCCGAAGGGUCUGCUUAGCUUUUUCCACAGGUCAUUUAGGACCAGAGGAGAGGACAAAAGUUGCAAGCUGUCCCAGUGCUGGAGGCAUAUUCUAAAAAUAAAAGGAAAGAAAGUUUAAAACACUCAGAGUCAUUUAGACUGGAGAGAGCUAAAAUGUUCUCCUUAGAGAAGGUUUUAUGACAUACAGCUAAAAGAAAUCCACAGACUUUGAGAAACAAAACUACUAUAAGAAGAUCAUCAAGAAAUGAGUAUUUUAGGCAGAUAAAACAAAGCUUCUGUAUAUAAGGAGGGGAAGAAGGGUUGAAGGGAGGGAUGGGAAAAAAAAGAAGAAGCAAGAUGUAUCAUGUACAGGUACAAAUUCCCUAUGAUGAAUGUUAUCAUUAUGUAUAUCUAAAAUGUACCAUAAAUGUUUUGCUUCAAAAAAAAGAACAGUAGCACUAGUUACUAACAUUUUGUCCUAUGCUUUGCGCUCCACUUAUUUACUAAUUUAAAUAUCAAGACUGUGUUAUUAGAUAAACAUGUCUUAGCUCCUUUCUGAUAUUUUGUUAUGAACUCUGUUCUGCCUUUAUAGGAAUAAUGAUAAAGAUGCCUCUGUGGGAAGCAAAGCUCCAUCCCAAGUGCCUGGACAGGUGUCAGGCAGAUAAUUAAAAAUGAGAGGAGAAAAUCUUAGCUAAACACUUCGUAUUAUAUCAAUUUAUACCUGAAUUUUUCACAAUCAGUCGUCUGGAAACUCCAUGUGUUUCCCAGUCCUGAAGAGGAUACUCCAUUUCCUUGAAUCCACUAGGAUUUAAAUAUUGACUUUUCUAAAAUAUCAUCCUCCAGAGCUCAUGAGUACAGACAUGACAGGGACUUGGAGUAUUCGAGAUGCUUCUGACCUCACGAACACUGAAAUGAGAGAUGGUGAAGCUUAUUUUUAGCAGGGUAUUUAGGAAGGGCCCAAUGGGCUAAUUUUCACCUAGGGCUGCUCAUACAACCGUUGAAGAUGUGCGAAUAAGGUGCACCGCCAAAGUCUGUGAUUGUUGUUAUUUAGCACUUUAUUUUAAGAGUUUUAAGCCUCAUCCAGAAAUAUUUACUAAGCACAUGUACAUACAGGGCAGGCUGUCUGAGUGCCUGACAGGCUUUGUGUAUCUGAGAAGUGAGUAAUUUCAGCUUUCAGCCCAUGAAGAGGAAAGGAGGCCACAGAUUCCCCUGCCCCACUGAAGAGAACAGAGCAUGGUCUGCUGAGCUAUUUCCACAAAAAAUAUCAGAGUUCUGUAAAGCUGGAAUUCAGCCUUUGGCACUCAAGUUACAUCUCACCCAUUACGUAUUACGUAUACAAACUUAAAUGAAAAAUAACCUGAGAAGCUUCAUAAUUGAAACAAGAGAGUCUGGAUCAAUAGAGGGCCAAAGGCCUCCCAUGCUCGAUAAAAGUUGCUCGGUGGUUUUCUUGGGUUUUAUGGAUGAUUUUUUUUACUUUUCAUUUCUCUACUUCAUUGUAUGUUGUGGAAUUUGCCAAACUUAGGGAGUUACUCUGCUGGGACAGAUCCCAUUUUGAUUCUUUGAUUACAAUCCGAUAGAAAUGUCAGGAUAUUAAGAAACAGGCCCGUCCAAGUGUUUAUUACUUUUUCUUCUCUAUCAAAUUUAAUCCCCUGCAAUACCCAGAUCUAAUCCACAUUUUUCUUAGUUCUCUGCAGAAAUGUGGAAAUCCUCCACUACUGGGAUAAUUUAGAGUUCCGUGUUGCUGAUGCUAAAGAUGGAGACAAAAGUUCUUCAGGUGUCUUUUGACAGCCAGACUCCUACAGAAGGUGCUGGGCAGGUGAUCUGUACAAAAAGAAGUGAGUUGUUCUAAUCACUUUAUUUUUCCUGAGGAAAAAUGGUGAGAGGCUGUGAAGAAAUUUGAUGACAACUUCCUUUUGCCUUAUUUGGAUGAAGGACAGCAUUUUGUUCUCCUCUCUGUGUAGCUAAGAACAUGUUAUAGACAGAACGUUUAUGUUCCCUUGAAAUUUGUCUGUUGAAAUUCUAACUCUCAUGACACUGGCACUGGGAGGUGGGCCUUUAGGAGGGAAUUAGAUCAUGCAGCUGGAGCCCACACAAAGGGGGUCCGUGUCCUCAUGAGAGGGACCUCAGUUCCUCUCUCCUUUCUUCCCCUCAUGUGAGGAUACAAAGAUAGGUUGCUGUCUGUACCGUCGAGGAGGAUGCUUGCCAGAACCCAAUCAUGCUGCCACUGUGGUUUCAGGCUUUCUGCUUCUGAAGUUGUGAACAGUAACGUGUGUUUUUAAGCCACUCAGUUUAUGCAAUUCUGUGAUAGCAGCCUGAUCUGACUAAGGAAGAGCAUAUAAAACAAGAAAACAGAAUUCAGAGGCAAAGGGCUCUGAGCAAAGAAUUUGUAGACACUCUU